CUCGCAGGUUUCAGGCCCCGCCUCCUCCGGGCCCAGCCGGUCUCCGCAGACCUUAGGCCUGGAACCCGGGCGCCCGCAGCCCCGCGCCCCCGCUCCCCGUCCCCCGGUGCGGCGCCAGCCCGGCCGGAGCGCGCGGGCGGCGGGAUCGCGGCGGACCUGGGUCCACGCCGCGCAGCCUCGGGUCCCGCGGGCGCAGGGGAGAGAGGCGGGGCGGCGGGCCGGGGCGGAGCGGCGGCCGGGAGCCGGGAGCCGUCCCUGCUCUGUGUCCGCCGGCCGCCAGGCGCAGCCAUGGAGGUCUACAUCCCGUCCUUUCGCUACGAGGAGAGUGACCUGGAGCGGGCAUACACGCUCUCUCACCUCUCCCACCAGCAUCAGCAGUCCGGAGGGCCCACUGCCUUUGGGGCAUUCUUUAAGGAUCUGAAGAUAAGGCUGCUUUGGGGGCACGUUGGUCUUCAGAUGCAGGUGUUUAAGAUAGAAGUGCUAAUGAACGGAAGAAAACAUUUUGUUGAGAAAAGGUACAGCGAAUUUCAUGCCUUGCACAAAAAGCUCAAGAAAUGUAUUAAAACGCCAGAAAUCCCUUCAAAACACGUGAGGAACUGGGUCCCAAAAGUGUUGGAACAACGACGACAAGGCUUGGAAACGUAUUUACAGGCUGUCAUUUUAGAAAAUGAAGAACUUCCCAAACUGUUUCUUGAUUUCCUAAACAUACGGCACUUGCCAUCUCUACCAAAGGCGGAGAGUUGUGGGUCGUUUGAGGAGACAGAAUCUGAAGAGUCAAGCAAGCUGUCCCACCAGCCGGUGCUGCUGUUCCUCCGGGAUCCAUACGUCUUGCCUGCAGCCAGCGCGCCGGGUGCUACACUGAAGCGGCGCCAGGCCGAAGCCGCAUGACGGAUAGCGCGUUGGAAACCAAACUGCACGGCGCUGCAGAUUCCCAAGUCACGAUUUCCCUAACGUGGUUAUUGAAGGCGUUCUCCACGGGAUCUUCUACCCUCACCUGCAGCCCAGGUAGAAAGCCUGCGGGGCCAGAAGAAGCUGAAGCCCGUUUCAACGUUGUAGUCAAGGAAAUCGAUCACCUACCAAAUUAACCUAAACUCUAUGACACAGCAGCUCUAGCUAGUGGUGAAAUUCACAGGCCCAGCUUCACUCAGGGCAGGGACAUUUCCAUUAGAAUGGUGCUUUUAAAAAUAGAAACUGAACCAGGGCUGUGCUGAGGUCAAGGCCAAAUGUUCAAGGCUAGAACGUAGCUGCCAAUUGAGAAACCCGUGAGCACGAGGCUCGGGAAGAUCCCCGGGAGCACUCAGUGCCACAAAGCCUAGUGACUCUCGGCCUCACUCGGACCAUCUGCUAAUUGAAAAUCUUAUCCUGAAUCACACUGAGGCUGACCAACUCCGGUACUUUCUGGUUCAGAUUUUGUGACACACUAAUGUUUUCAUCCUGAGGUUUCCUCGGCCAGGGAUAGAUCCAUUCAUAGUGCGGGCACCAGGAGGGUAUCACAGAAACGCACACUGCUGACUGUGAGGAAGGCGCCAAACUGGAAAUUAAAUGCUGCUGACAGUAUUCGGGCACGUUUUAAAUCAUGGCGUUUUUAAUUGACGUGACAGUGGAGUUGAGUCAUAUCCAGGGGUUAGCAUCUAAUGUCAGUACAUGAGAAAAAAAUGGAGUAUCAAGCAUAUCCUUGAAAGCCCUCUGGGCAGGCAUCAUGUUGGAAAUCUGUUCACAUCUACAAUGACCAUUUUUUCCUCCAGUGUUGGGAGAAAGGACUGUUUCUUCCACUGAAGACCAAUUGAAAUGGUUGGUGUUUGUUUGGGGGCUGCACAUACCUUUAAACACUAGCGUCACACUUACCCCUGCAAGAUGCUUGUCCCCUGAGACAGCAUGGGCACUGACCCUGGCUGAGGGGACACUCUGCAUAGGCAGCACUCACCUUGGUUUACUCGAGGGCGUCCAUUCGUUGAAUAGGUGGCAUUGCCAUGGGAUUUACUGUUAUUUUUCUUACUGUUUCCUUUUCACUGACCUCAUAUCUUGAAUUAAGGUAAGUUAAAUGUGUUCAUGAUAGGAUUCCACUGUAUACCUUACAGACAUUCAUAAUUUGAGUAGUAAAGGAUAUAAGCAUAUGUGCAACCUGUAUGUAUGUGCUGUUAUUUGGGCGUUUCAUUGAAAACUAAUUAAUAGCUAAAUUAUUUACGAUUAUUAAUUUUAAUAAGCUUCUGUAUGGGAGAGAAGAAUAUUUAGAUUCAAAACUAAUUACUGAAUCAUGUUAUUUGAUUAAGAUAUAAAUAUAUAAGUUUUAAUCCUGAUGCAAACUUUUUAGAGAUAUGUUUAUGUUAGAUAUGGUCCCACAUAUUAGGAACAAGCAAGAACUACUCAAUGUCAUCAACCAAAAAUAACUGAAUAGUCAAGUGUUGGAGAUAUUUUUUUAACGUUUUUGUUAUUAGCUAUUUUGAGUUAAAUAAAAACAAAGAACAAGAAAUACUUGAAGUUGUCUUCUGCUCCUAAGGUUUUGUUGGAAAUACAAAUUGUGUCUUGUCUCUACAUACACACACAACUUCUCAUGGAUUCACAUAGAUAUUUAUGUCUAAAAUGACAAGGUAAGGGUUAAUUACCUCAUCCAUUAAGCCAAAAGAUACUCAUUAAGUAGUUAUGAUUUACCAAGAUAGUGAUGAUUUAAGAAAAAUAAAUACUGAGCAUCUUUGGUGGCACACUACUCAAGAAAUAUUUUUUGAGAAUUAAUAUUUUAUUAUUUUAAAUUUAUCUUUAUUGUUGAAAGUAUUGCAGAUAUCCCCCCCCCCCCUUCACCCUGCUCCUGCCCCCUGCCCAGGCCUUCACUGCACUAAUGUCCGUGUUCUUUUUCUUAGUGAUGACUUUCAUUUUUUAUUUUAUGUAAAUGUUUGAUAUGUAAUUUAAUAUUCCACUUCAAUUCCAUUGCAGGAAGUAGAAACCACAGUAGGUAUUUUAAACAGAAUGAAAUAAUAAGGAACUGAAUACUUACAGAAUCUUUGAAAGAAUGAGGAGGGUGAACUGCUGGGUCUCCAGCAACAAAUUCCAGAACAUUCCAGCAAGCUCCAGUACCCACAUGCCAGGGGAGCUACAACUUUUGCCUUAAGCAGGAGUUCAGGGAGGCAGGAGGCUGCUACUGGAGCCAUUGAGGUAAAAACCACUGUAGCUUUGAUCCAAGCAUCAGCAUGUCAGGUCAGGAAGUCACUGUUAGAGCCAUAACUGCCUCAUAGCGGUGCCCUGGGAGCUGGUGACUGGGCACUGGAACAAGGGGUCCAGCUGCUACCACCUACUCCACAAUGGCCUUGCUUCCAGCAGCCACAGCCCCAGCAGCAGGAAGACGGUGUUCACCCACUUCUCUCUUCCACUGCACAUCCCACAGAAGUCCAUCCAAUGAACCUUAUUCUUGAUCCUCAGCGUCAAGGGAGUCUGAGAAGGAGUUGGAACUUUCUGGUCUCUGCAGCAACUCAAGAGGCCCAGGAAGCAAACUUGUCUUUAAAGUCCCAGUUGGAGGAAAAAGAUUCAAGAUUUCAAAUGGAGACAUCCAUCCAAAGGAGAGGACAUAAUUACCCGCUAGGCUGGAUGGUGGCCCUCACCUUGUUUUUAAAGGCCUGGUGUGCUUCGGGGAGAAAGCCCUUCACACCCUCUGAAACACCGAAUGGGUGUGAAAAUUUCUAUGACUCCUAAUAAAACUUCAGAAGUAGGCAGCAGGAGGGAUAUGGGCAUGUUGCGCCCUCUCCAAACUCUCCAAAUUUGUGACUCUGGCCAUUCUGAUGGAACUAGGGAUGAAAAUAAAACUCCAUUUGUGGGUUUUA